AUUCCAAAACAACAGAACUAUAGUAUUCUAUAUACUCUAGAAAUAAAUUCUGUUUCGCUCUCAGCAUGUUCCUGCUUUUCUAAUAUUUGAAGAUACAUCACACCUGCAGAAUUAUGCACUCCAUUCUACCUUCAGGACAUCCUGCCAGCAUCUGCACUCAGCCACCAACUAGGAGACCCAGUGCCCAUCUCCUGCCAGAACUGCUGCUUUGGGCGGUCUUCUCAUUUGCUUCUCCUCAUUAUUUCUCCAUAGCCAAGAACUGGAAAGGCGAUACAUGGGAGAAGACUGCUGAAUCAGAGGACCCUGGGCCACUGAACCCCCAUAAGCUUCCCUGACAGCCAAAAGCCCACAUUCCCUCUCUCAUGGAGUGGACUCUUGCCUUCUUGAAGAUACUGUAAUUGUCUUGACCAACAACCACUGUGAGAGUCAGCCAGGCCCGAGUAUGCCCUUCUUUUCUCCAGACCUUUCACGA
rnacentral:lncRNA from 1 species